rnacentral:rRNA from 1 species
AUUGAACGCUGGCGGCAGGCCUAACACAUGCAAGUCGAGCGGGGUUUUCGGACCUAGCGGCGGACGGGUGAGUAAUGCGUAGGAAGCUGCCCGAUAGAGGGGGAUACCAGUUGGAAACGACUGUUAAUACCGCAUAAUGUCUACGGACCAAAGUGUGGGACCUUCGGGCCACAUGCUAUCGGAUGCGCCUACGUGGGAUUAGCUAGUUGGUGAGGUAAUGGCUCACCAAGGCGACGAUCUCUAGCUGGUUUGAGAGGAUGAUCAGCCACACUGUAACUGAGACACGGUCCAGACUCCUACGGGAGGCAGGAGUGGGGAAUAUUGGACAAUGGGCGCAAGCCUGAUCCAGCCAUGCCGCGUGUGUGAAGAAGGCCUUCGGGUUGUAAAGCACUUUCAGCGAGGAGGAAGGGUGGUGUGUUAAUAGCACAUCAUUUUGACGUUACUCGCAGAAGAAGCACCGGCUAACUCUGUGCCAGCAGCCGCCGUAAUAC